rnacentral:rRNA from 1 species
UACGUAGGGUGCGAGCGUUAAUCGGAAUUACUGGGCGUAAAGUGUGCGCAGGUGGCUGAGCAAGUCGAGUGUGAAAGCCCCGGGCUUAACUUGGGAAUUGCGCUCGAAACUACGAUGCUGGAGUGUGGCAGAGGAAGGUGGAAUUCCACGUGUAGCGGUGAAAUGCGUAGAGAUGUGGAGGAACACCAAUGGCGAAGGCAGCCUUCUGGGCCAACACUGACGCUCAUGCACGAAAGCGUGGGGAGCAAACAGG